CCUACGGGAGGCAGCAGUGAGGAAUAUUGGUCAAUGGGCGAGAGUCUGAACCAGCCAAGUAGCGUGAAGGAUGACUGCCCUACGGGUUGUAAACUUCUUUUAUAUGGGAAUAAAACGAGGUAUGCAUGCCUUCUUGUAUGUACCAUAUGAAUAAGGAUCGGCUAACUCCGUGCCAGCAGCCGCGGUAAUACGGAGGAUCCGAGCGUUAUCCGGAUUUAUUGGGUUUAAAGGGAGCGUAGAUGGGUUGUUAAGUCAGUUGUGAAAGUUUGCGGCUCAACCGUAAAAUUGCAGUUGAAACUGGCAGUCUUGAGUACAGUAGAGGUGGGCGGAAUUCGUGGUGUAGCGGUGAAAUGCUUAGAUAUCACGAAGAACUCCGAUUGCGAAGGCAGCCUACUAGACUGCCACUGACACUGAUGCUCGAAAGUGUGGGUAUCAAACAGGAUUAGAUACCCUAGUAGUC
rnacentral:rRNA from 1 species